ACCUUCUGCGGAUCGGCUUGCGCCGGGGCGAUCAGGAAGAGGAGCGGAAGAACCGCGCGGCAGAGCACGCCGGGCGAGAAGAGUAAGCGCUUCGAUGAAAAGCCGGAUGGCUCGGGAGUGCGCAUGGGGCCAAGUAUUGCCGAUA
rnacentral:ncRNA from 1 species